rnacentral:antisense_RNA from 1 species
AGGAUAGGAGGAGGCGAUGGAGGAGGAGGAGGAGCAGGAGGCCCGGGCCCCGGCCUGCGGUUGGGAGAAGAUAUGCCAAGAAUGUAAACCAUCCGCUGGACGCUGCGCCCGCUCCUGUUGCUGCUGCGGCCGGCGCAGCCUCCCUUCGGUCCCCGGCCCGGUCAGGGGCCGCGCCGAACGCAGACCCGCCAGGGGGAAGCAUGUCCGAGGGGGUGGCGUCGGUGGCUGCCGCGACUCCCGAGCCGGAGGCUCCCACGCGGCACCGUCGGGGCUGGGCGUUCCUGGGGAUUCAGAGUCGGCGCUGGGCCUCCUGGAGCCAGGACCGCCGAAGAGCUUGCGCAUCUCGGUGACGCUGGGCCAGGCUCCUCGCGCUGGGCCCUCGGCCGCUUCUUCCGCGGCCGCGGGGAAGACGCCUCCGUCUCGGGCCCCAACGGAGCCGUCGUCCAGACGCGGCGCGUCGAAGCGCCGGGAGAGCUGGCGCACCGACGGCGAGAGGCUGCGGAGCGGGCGCGGCUGCGUGGGGGCGGCCAGGGGCCCAGACGCCAGCUUGGACACGCGCCGAGAGGGCUGGCCCCGGGCAGCCGUGGUCGGCCGGCACGAGGCGCGGCGCCUCAAGCCGGGGGUGUCCGUGUCCUCCUCCCUCGGCCCGGGGCCGCCGCUCCAGCGCUCCAGCAGCUUGAAUGAGACGCUGCGGAGCGCAGCGGCCCACGCCGAAAGCAGCGCACGGGAGUGUGGGAGGAGGACGCAGAGACCGGAGCAGAGGUUUCUCUGCCGCGGCUCAAGUUUCUGUGGCCACCGGCCUCAACGUCUCCAUCCCGGGCGGCCCCUCCCGCCUCAGCGCCGACCCCCAGGCCCAGCCCCCGCCGCGGCUGGAGCGACCAGGGGCACCGCGGCACCGCCUGGGCGGGAUCCCAGCGCUUGGUUCCUCGACUCUGCGUCCGCCUGCCCAACGGCUUGCCUGCCUCCCCUCGCUCUCCCGCUCCGGCUCCCGCUCCCUCCCCCUUGGCUGCUCGCUCCUGGCACCCUUUUGUUGCAAAUAAACUUUGCGGCAGAGGCAAGGGGGCGGGGGGCGGGGCCUCGAGCCCAAAAGAGGGGGUGGGCUCCGGGCGUGCGCGAGCCUGGGAACCGGGUGGUGGGAGGGAAUCAGGGAGGAGCCGAAGAAGAAAAAGCCUGCUGGAGGACUUGCAGACUGAGGCGACCCUCUGGCCCUCCAGAGACGUCCCUCGGGAGCCCAGCAGGCCGAGCUGCCCCCAGGGAGUCGCUGAGACACACGCAACCGCUGAGCGUGCUCAGCUCCGCAGACUCGCAGCCAGGGCGCCGCGUCCACCGCGGGCCACCAGCCUCCGCGCGGAAACACCUCCUGCCCAGGGGCUCCAACAUGGCAACCUCGGACUCACAAACUCUCGUACACACUGACACUCAGCUGCCACGCCUUCCACCUGCCCCUGCAGUCUGGCGGCUCUUCUCCUGGACUCUCCGCCUGGAUCCCCGAGCCUCUUUCCUUCUUGCUCUGGAGUACGCGGCUCUUGCGCCCCCUCGCGGCGUGAUUUUGCCAACGCACGGAGUCCUGGACGGAUAAAGCAGCACCCAUCCCCAAAAAACGGAGAGUUGUGAAAACUUCCUUUCAGUCGUUACCUAAUCCCCUUAGUCUUUUUCAGACCUUCGCAAAGCGCACUGCCCCUUCUUAGGCCUUAUACACAAAAGGAGCUUCGACCGGAACGCCCUCGACUUCCCACUGCCAAACCUA